rnacentral:tRNA from 1 species
GUUCUUAUAGUUGAAUUACAACAGUAGUUUUUCGGACUACUGGUUUUGGUGUAAUUAGAUAAUCCAAAUGAGAAUU